rnacentral:rRNA from 1 species
UACAGAGGGGGCAAGCGUUGUUCGGAAUUACUGGGCGUAAAGGGCGCGUAGGCGGCCUUCUAAGUCGAACGUGAAAUCCCUGGGCUCAACCCAGGAACUGCGUCCGAUACUGGGAGGCUUGAAUCCGGGAGAGGGAUGCGGAAUUCCAGGUGUAGCGGUGAAAUGCGUAGAUAUCUGGAGGAACACCGGUGGCGAAGGCGGCAUCCUGGACCAACACUGACACUGAGGAGCGAAAGCCAGGGGAGCAAACGGG